rnacentral:lncRNA from 1 species
AGAGAAUGUCCGUUUCUCGGAGCGCAGCACAGCCUGUCCCAUCGAGAAGCCUCGGGUGAGGGGCCCGGUGGGCGCCCGGAGGCCGCUGGAGGGCUGUGGGAGGGACGGUGGCUCCCCACUCCCGUGGCGAAGGGCAGGCAAACCAGAAGCCUCUUUUGAGAGCCGUUUGGGAUUGAGACGAGUAAGCCACAGCGAGUGGUUAGAAGUAGGUUAGGAAGAAGGGGAGGUAAGAAAGCCGAGUAGGGUUCUGGGCCGGAGCCGUUCACUGAGACAGGAACCCUGGGGGAGAUGCGCUGUCUCCCUGGCGUCUCGGUGCAAAUGCCCAGAGAGCGGCUGGAACCCCUCGAGGCUGGAGCACGGGGACGCCGGCCUGGGGUGUAGGUCUGGGAGCAGUCGGCCGUCAGCUUCCCAGAGACCGUGACAAAAGAC